CCUACGGGAGGCAGCAGUGAGGAAUAUUGGUCAAUGGGCGCAAGCCUGAACCAGCCAAGUCGCGUGAGGGAGGACGGCCCAAAGGGUUGUAAACCUCUUUUGCCGGGGAGCAACGGGCGCCACGCGUGGCGUCACGGAGAGUACCCGGAGAAAAAGCAUCGGCUAACUCCGUGCCAGCAGCCGCGGUAAACCGGGGGAUGAGAGCGUUAUCCGGAUGUAUUGGGUUAAAAGGGUGCGUAGGCGGAUCGUGAAGUCAGGGGUAAAAUUGGGGGGCUCAACCCCUUCACGCCGUUGAAACUGGCGUUCUUGAGUGGGAGGGAAGUAUGCGGAAUGCGUGGUGUAGCGGUGAAAUGCAUAGAUAUCGCGCAGAACCCCGAUUGCGAAGGCAGCAUGCCG
rnacentral:rRNA from 1 species